CAGGGAAUAUUAGUAAUGGGCGAAAGCCUGAACUAGCAACGCCGCGUGUGCGAAGAAGGCCUUCGGGUUGUAAAGCACUUUUUGAGAGGAUGAGGAAGGACGGUACUCUCAGAAUAAGUCUCGGCUAACUACGUGCCAGCAGCCGCGGUAACACGUAGGAGGCGAACGUUAUCCGGAUCUACUGGGCGUAAAGCGCGUGUAGGUGGUUGGUAAGUAGGGCGUGAAAGCUCCUGGCUCAACUGGGAGAGGCCGUUCUAAACUGCCGAACUAGAGGAUGGUAGAGGGAGGUGGAAUUCCGGGCGUAGCGGUGGAAUGCGCAGAUAUCCGGAGGAACACCAGUGGCGAAAGCGGCCUCCUGGACCAUUCCUGACACUCAGACGCGAAAGCUAGGGUAGCAAACGG
rnacentral:rRNA from 1 species